GACAGAGGUAAGGUGGAGAGAUUACCGUGUUAUAAAGAACUUUGGGAUGUUUUUCAAAAUUAACCUGACCAUUCUUUUGAAACCAGAGUCCUUAACAAGCAUUGAGAUAUAUUUCUCCAUGAAGGCUUAACAGUGAAAAUUGGAGAUUUUGGUUUGGCAACAGUAAAGUCACGCUGGAGUGGUUCUCAGCAGGUUGAACAACCUACUGGCUCUGUCCUCUGGAUGGCCCCAGAGGUGAUCCGAAUGCAGGAUAACAACCCAUUCAGUUUCCAGUCGGAUGUCUACUCCUAUGGCAUCGUAUUGUAUGAACUGAUGACGGGGGAGCUUCCUUAUUCUCACAUCAACAACCGAGAUCAGAUCAUCUUCAUGGUGGGCCGAGGAUAUGCCUCCCCAGAUCUUAGUAAGCUAUAUAAGAACUGCCCCAAAGCAAUGAAGAGGCUGGUAGCUGACUGUGUGAAGAAAGUAAAGGAAGAGAGGCCUCUUUUUCCCCAGAUCCUGUCUUCCAUUGAGCUGCUCCAACACUCUCUACCGAAGAUCAACCGGAGCGCUUCCGAGCCAUCCUUGCAUCGGGCAGCCCACACUGAGGAUAUCAAUGCUUGCACGCUGACCACGUCCCCGAGGCUGCCUGUCUUCUAGUUGACUUUGCACCUGUCUUCAGGCUGCCAGGGGAGGAGGAGAAGCCAGCAGGCACUUUUCUGCUCCCUUUCUCCAGAGGCAGAACACAUGUUUUCAGAGAAGCUGCUGCUAAGGACCUUCUAGACUGCUCACAGGGCCUUAACUUCAUGUUGCCUUCUUUUCUAU
rnacentral:sRNA from 1 species